GACGAACGCUGGCGGCGUGCUUAACACAUGCAAGUCGAGCGGAGCGGCGAACGGGUGAGUAACGCGGGAGUAACUGGCCCCCUCUCUGGGAUAACCGUUGGAAAAGGCUGCUAAUACCGGAUAGUGGGGGCUGACUCCCGUUCUAUCCGCUUGUUGGUGGGGUAGUGGCCUACCAAGGCGACGACGGGUGGCCGUCCUGAGAGGGCGCCCGGCCACAUUGGGCUGAGAUACGGCCCAAACUCCUACGGGAGGGAGCAGUGGGGAAUAUUGCACAAUGGGGGAAACCCUGAUGCAGCAACGCGCGGGCGGGAUGACGGCCUUCGGGUUGUAAACCGCUUUCAGCCAUGACGCGGUAGUGGCAGAAGAAGCACCGGCUAACUACGUGCCAGCAGCCGCGGUAAUUC
rnacentral:rRNA from 1 species